rnacentral:miRNA from 1 species
UCCGAGAUAUUUGAUCGGAGG